rnacentral:tRNA from 1 species
CUAGACAGACGGGCCUCGAUCCCGUGAAUCUCUAAUUAACAGCUAGAUGCCCAAACCAACAGGCUUCUGCCUA